rnacentral:rRNA from 1 species
CGUGAUUUGGGGCUAUAUUACGGACCCCAAAAAUUACUUGUUUCAAGCAUUGUUUUCGAAUUUUUUCAUGCAUCAAAGCUCGUUAAGACUAGAUGGGGUAUCCCUACAUAGCGGGUGGGACCCACGGCGAAUGGUUCAUCAAGUCUUCAAAAAAGAAUAUAUACGAUUGCAUUGCAUAUACUAACGGAUGCGAUCAUACCAGCACUAAUGCACCGGAUCCCAUCAGAACUCCGCAGUUAAGCGUGCUUGGGGCGAGAGUAGUACUAGGAUGGGUGACCUCCCGGGAAGUCCUCGUGUUGCAUCCCUCUUUUAUGUUUAACCUUUUUUUUUUUGGUUAAAACUUUAUGACUCCAUAACUUUUAGACCGUGAGGCCAAACUUGGCAUGUGAUACCUUUUCGGAAAGCCCAAAGACAGCCCUCCGACGAAAGAAGCAGGACAAUGGAACUUUUCCAUUGACUUUUUGUCGACCCCAAAUUUUGACCUUUAAUUACUUUUUCGGGAAUCGA